rnacentral:rRNA from 1 species
UGCAGUCGAGCGGUAGAGAGAAGCUUGCUUCUCUUGAGAGCGGCGGACGGGUGAGUAAUGCCUAGGAAUCUGCCUGGUAGUGGGGGAUAACGUUCGGAAACGGACGCUAAUACCGCAUACGUCCUACGGGAGAAAGCAGGGGACCUUCGGGCCUUGCGCUAUCAGAUGAGCCUAGGUCGGAUUAGCUAGUUGGUGAGGUAAUGGCUCACCAAGGCGACGAUCCGUAACUGGUCUGAGAGGAUGAUCAGUCACACUGGAACUGAGACACGGUCCAGACUCCUACGGGAGGCAGCAGUGGGGAAUAUUGGACAAUGGGCGAAAGCCUGAUCCAGCCAUGCCGCGUGUGUGAAGAAGGUCUUCGGAUUGUAAAGCACUAUAAGUUGGGAGGAAGGGUUGUAGAUUAAUACUCUGCAAUUUUGACGUUACCGACAGAAUAAGCACCGGCUAACUCUGUGCCAGCAGCCGCGGUAAUACAGAGGGUGCAAGCGUUAAUCGGAAUUACUGGGCGUAAAGCGCGCGUAGGUGGUUUGUUAAGUUGGAUGUGAAAUCCCCGGGCUCAACCUGGGAACUGCAUUCAAAACUGACUGACUAGAGUAUGGUAGAGGGUGGUGGAAUUUCCUGUGUAGCGGUGAAAUGCGUAGAUAUAGGAAGGAACACCAGUGGCGAAGGCGACCACCUGGACUAAUACUGACACUGAGGUGCGAAAGCGUGGGGAGCAGACAGGAUUAGAUACCCUGGUAGUCCACGCCGUACACGAUGUCAACUAGCCGUUGGAAGCCUUGAGCUUUUAGUGGCGCAGCUAACGCAUUAAGUUGACCGCCUGGGGAGUACGGCCGCAAGGUUAAAACUCAAAUGAAUUGACGGGGGCCCGCACAGCCGCUGGAGCAUGUGGUUUAGUUCGAAGCUACGCCAA